rnacentral:rRNA from 1 species
AGACCGAUAGGGAACGAGAAAAGAACUUUGAAAAGAGAGUUAAACAGUAUGUGAAAUUGCUGAAAGGGAACCGUUUGAAGCCAGUCUGGCUGGUCUGCAAUCAACUUCGGCUUUGGUUGGAGUGCACUUGUAGGCCGUUCGCCUGCCAACAACAGUUUAUACUGCAGCAAAAAGGUGCUGAGAAUGUGGCUUUCCUUCGGGAAAGUGUUAUAGCUCGGUACGAAAUACUGUGGUUUAGACUGAGGCUCGCAGUGAAUGCUUUUUGGCUUUGGAAGUGGGUCGCUCAGUAGUCAGUGAGUUAGUCUUCGGCCGUAAAAAAGUCGUGCUGGCUUACUGAUUGCUGACCCGGCUUGCUUGCUUUUAAUUCACUUUGGUUGUUGGCGUAAUGGC